GAGCGCUCUAUUCCGCCCUGUGUUCUCGAACGGUCCCAAACCCUAGGCCUAGGCGCGACCAGAGUCCAUGUCGGGGUCUUACGGAUCCGACGACUACCGCGGCGGCGGCGGCGGCGGCCGAGGUGGCGGAGGCGGCGGCGGGCGUGGUCGUGGAGGCGGUGGAGGAGGGUAUGGAAGUGGCGGAGGUGGGGGAGGCUACGGCGGCGGUGGUGGAGGAGGUUAUGGAGGUGGUGGUGGAGGAGGAUACGGCGGCGGCGGUGGAGGUGGCCGAGGCGGUGGCGGCGGCGGGUUCGGUGGCGGAGGGCGAGGUGGUGGUGGUGGUGGCCGAGGCGGAGGCGGGCGCGGGGGUGGACGCGAAGGCGAUUGGGUUUGCCCUGACGCGAGUUGUGGUAAUGUGAAUUUUGCGAGGAGGACUGAAUGCAAUAAGUGUGGAGCACCUUGCCCAAGUGGCGGUGGCGGCGGUGGGGGUUAUAAUAGGUCUGGUGGAGGUGGUGGGGGAUACAACCGUGGCAGUGGUGAUUAUGGUUCUGGAGGAGGUGGUGGCUUCGACAGAGAUGGCGGAGACUACAAUUCUGGUGGGCGUGGUGGUGGAGGCGGGGGCAGAGGAGGAUACAAUCAAAGUGGUGGUAGUGACCGUGGUUUUGAUGACCACCGUGGUGGCAGAGGUGGCAGCUAUGGAGGACGAGACCAGGAGAACCAAAAGGGUAGUGAAGGUGGCUACAAUGCUGGUGGUUAUGGACAAACUCCUCAAGGUCCUCCUUCCUACGGUGGUCCUGCAGGUGACUAUGCAGCACCUACGAGCUCUUAUGGAGGCAACAAUGCUUAUGGUUCAGAAUCUGCAGUGCCGCCUCCUAAUAGCUACAGUGGUGGCCCAGGCUCAUACCCACCAAGCUAUGGUGCCCCGCCUCCACACCAAUAUGGUGGUGCCCCAGGCGGGCAAGGCGGCCUGCCUCCUACAUAUGCUGGUGGAUAUGGUGGUCAGUCCAUGCCUGGGGGUGGAGGAUCUGGGGGUGCACCGCCACCUUAUCGUGGCGGCGCUAGUGUUUAUACUGGUAGUGCUGGUCCUGAACCAGCUGGAAAAGUCAAGCAAUGUGAUGAAAAUUGUGACGAGACAUGUGACAACGCAAGGAUUUACAUAUCAAAUUUGCCUCCUGAUGUCACUGUUGAGGAAUUACAGGAGCUAUUUGGAGGAAUCGGCCAGGUUGGGAGGAUCAAGCAAAAACGUGGUUACAAAGACCAGUGGCCCUGGAACAUAAAAAUCUACACUGAUGACUCUGGAAAAGCCAAAGGAGAUGCUUGCCUUGCCUAUGAAGAUCCUUCUGCUGCUCAUUCAGCUGGUGGAUUUUACAAUAAUUAUGACAUGAGAGGCUACAAAAUCAGCGUUACGAUGGCUGAAAAAUCAGCACCCAGAGCAGCACCUUCUUAUGGUCAUGGCGGUGGCCGCGGUGGUGGAUAUGGUGGAGGUGGACGCAGGGAUAAUUACAGAGAUGGUGGGGGCCAUGGACCCAAUAGAAACCAGGGUGGUGGUUCGCGUUCCCGACCAUACUGAAAGCAACUAAUAUUCUUACUGUGAUUGUUGCCUGUGAGAAACCAUUUCUAUUCCUGUUCUACGGAUUUGUACUCAUUCAGGCGCAUAAGAGGCAGAUGGGGAUAUAAGCUCCAAAUGCUGGUAGGUUUGUGAUACUAUUUCAGCCGGUGGAUCACUCCUGUAAGCUUUGGAUUUUGCUGCAAAGAACAGGUAGCGUGGUUUAUCAUGUGAUAGGUUUAUUAGAUUUCGUCUAUAUUAGAUGACAUAUCAAACAACAUUCAUAGAAUGUUCCACACCCAUUUUUGUUUGAAUGCACAGAGGGUUUGUAGCAUGUACUUAGCUUAGGUUGCCACAAACAUUUGGCUUCAUAUAGAUGGUGAAUUGUGCCUCUGGGUAAUAAGCUUGUUUUGGUAAAGAGCCUACUCUUGGAUAAAGGCUGCAGCUCCACUUGUGCCCCAACUAAACAUCCUUAGCAACACAAUUUGACUUUUUUUGUGCUAAAGUGAUGAUUUAUAAAUAGAAAAGGAACAAGAAUUGGGUGGAUUAUUGCUUCAUUUGCCAUUUGAGGCCUCUCGGGAGUAUGGGACUGGGUCACUGGGAGCUCAUGCCUUUGGUUAAUUGACCUGGAGACUUUGACAACUUCAUAGUGCACAAUCCUUGCACCGAUCAGACAUAUCAGUCGCCUGUGCGUGCAGAUGGCGAACCAGCAUUGGUAUUUUCGUGUGCUGAGGCCUUUAUUGUAUUUACCUUCUUAUUUUUAUUAAGCUUUCAUGAAGUAUGUGAAUGAUUGUACUGCUUGAGCAGUAACCAAUUAAGUACACGACGGGAAAGCUACUGGCUGUUGCAGAAGCCGGUAGUGUAUUAUUAUUA